CUUUGGGUUCAGAGGUGGAACUCUGAGCUGUCUCCACCAUGGCCUGGACCCCUUCCCUGCUCACCCUCCUCACUCUCUGCACAGGUUCAGUGACCUCCUCUGAGUUGACUCAAGUGUCUGCAGUGUCUGUGGCCUUGGAACAGACAGUCAGGAUUACCUGCCAGGGUGAUAACAUAGGAAUAUUUGGUGCACACUGGUACCAGCAGAAGUCAAGCCAGGCCCCAGUGCUGGUCAUCUAUGGUAGCAGCAACCGACCUUCAGGGAUCCCUGAGCGAUUCUCUGGCUCUCGUUCAGGGAACACAGCCACCCUGACCAUCAGCAGGGCCCAGAUCGAGGAUGAGGCUGACUACUACUGUCAGUCACGGGACAGCAGUGGUUCUGUGACCUCCUCUGAGCUGACUCAAGUGUCUGUGGUGUCUGUGGCCUUGGGACAGACAACCAGGAUUACCUGCCAAGGUGAUGACAUAGGAAUAUUUGAUGCACACUGGUACCAGCAGAAGUCAGGCUAG